CUUGGCUGUCAGAGUUCAGAGCGUGACUCUUCUGCCAUCUCUGCGGGGGAACAACAGGCUCUGUGACAAAGGUUCCCAGACGCUGCCCAGGGGGACCCCCAAUGUCCAGGCAGGGAAGGUAUGGAAGAAAGCUAUGACACAUUUGAAGAGGAGUUAGGGCCACCAAGAGCAGAUCCUCCUCCACUUAAGCCUGCUCGACAGAUCUGCAGACCAGAAAUGUACGUGACAAGGAAAGUCAGAGGGGAAAUGCCUCCAUUUUCCCAGCAACCAAGAGCAGAACCCAUGAUUUUACCCAGGGAACCCAGCUUCACCAGAACAAGUGAGUCAUUACCAUC